AAUGACGGUACUUGAGGAAUCAGCAUCGGCUAACUCCGUGCCAGCAGCCGCGGUAAUACGGAGGAUGCAAGCGUUAUCCGGAAUGAUUGGGCGUAAAGCGUCCGCAGGUGGCUGUGUAAGUCUGCUGUUAAAGAGCAAAGCUCAACUUUGUAAGAGCAGUGGAAACUACACGGCUAGAGUGCGUUCGGGGCAGAGGGAAUUCCUGGUGUAGCGGUGAAAUGCGUAGAGAUCAGGAAGAACACCGGUGGCGAAGGCGCUCUGCUAGGCCGCAACUGACACUGAGGGACGAAAGCUAGGGGAGCGAAUGGGAUUAGAUACC
rnacentral:rRNA from 1 species